CUAGGGAGGAAAAAUGCCCUUUUUCCUGAAUUCCAGCACCAACUUAGAGCGCUGGCGAGUGUCGUUUCUCGGGUGUGGGAAUAUGGACGCGCUGGGACAUCCCAGACUGAACUGCGGCGCCGCAGGGGAGCAGCUACCCGGCGGCCGAGACUCGGGCUCCGCCUUCUCCGCGUCGCGGAGUGACCCGGCGAGGGGACGCCGGGAUGCGGGAACUAGCACCGGGGGGUGGGAUUGAGGAGAUGCCCGGGUGGAGGCCCGGGAUUAGGGGGAUCCCGGGGCCAUAGGGAUUCUGGGAGGGAGCGAGGGGACGCAGGGGAGAAGGGGACGCCGCGGAGGACUAGGAUGUGAGAGAAGAGCAAGAAUUUAGGAUCAACUGUGAGUCCUGAGGUGCCAGCCCCCAGGCUGUCAGAAAAGCAGGAAGCCAAAGGCUCCUUGUCUUUCCUCUGGGAGGGAAGUCAGCGGCAAUUACUGAUACCACCUCCAGGUGGCCAGACACCAUCAGCCACACAGCAAAGUCACUGUGAGAACUUCAGAACCUGCGUCCAGAGUCUACGGAAGGCUGCCCCACACCAAGGAAAGACCAGUGUCACUCUAUUUCAAUAAUUUUUUUUGGCCAGGCCAGGUGGCUCACACCUGUAAUCCCAGCACUUUGGGAACGAGACCCUGUCUAAAAAUAAACACUUUU